rnacentral:lncRNA from 13 species
ACUUCCACUGAUGGUUCACUAAACAUUGGUAUGUUGGUAAUCUGCUUACUGUAUUAUUAAAUAAAACAUUUUCCUUCUUGCCCAAAAUACAUGUUAAUUAAUCAUAAUGAGAUAUAGCCUAGACACAAGCAGGUAAGAAUUAUGCAUGGCCACACUUAUUUUUGUGGUGUUACCAGCUACAGAAUCACUAUGAUUCUUGAUAGGAAUAGCCUCAAACAGUUAGAGCAAAACAGAACAGCAAUUAUGAAGUAACUCCGUACUUACUAGAAAGAAAAUCUUGCAUAUUCAGGAAGAUUUCUUAAACAGUAAUAAUGCAUUUGUUCUUUACUCACGACCUUUAUUCUGUUGGUGUCCCCAAAGCAGGAAAGCCACAGGGGUCCCAGGACUCUGAGCUUCAGCGGAGAAGCCCAGGGAUGGCAAUCCUUGGAUCAAGAAAGAGAACCAUGAAUAACAGGAAUCAUCUAACAAACUGGGGCCUAAAUGGGAAGAGCAGAGAUGCAGCUACAGUAAAGGUGUGAUUUUAUGGUCAGCUUCAUGUAGUUGAACUCUGAAAUACUACUGCAAGGGACAAAUCUUCCUUUCCCCUACCUCACCUGUCUGUCCUCCACGCUUUGUGUCAGCACAUGUAGUUGCACCCUCAGCAGUCAGCCAGAUCCGGUCCCCAGUACAGCUGCACAGCUGGAUGAAUGCUGCUGCUGACACAACACAAGGACAAGGGACAGACACCCUUUCACCACCCUUCUGGAGCUUACAAAUAGAUUAGCCAUGGCUGAUACAGAACUAUACCCAAGUAUCGCCCCUUUUCGAUGAAGAAAGGAAACAGCAGAUUCCUGUGUUAUUCGCCGCACAGCAAUAAAUCAAGUUACUGAUAAAUAGUAAGCAUUUGGCAUACCUGCCUUUAUGAUACCAUGGUCAUUGGUAAUACAACUGUAAAUGGGAAGCAACAUGUCAGACAAAUGAUUGUUUCAAGAGAUCAGACAAUAAAUGUAAAUUAAACCAAAUUAAAUGAAAUUGUAAGAGAAGUUUUAUGGACAGGGAACUGUGAGGUGAGGCUUGAACAUUCAUUACUUUCAUCUUCAUCUCAGAGAACACUACCUCCAAAACUAUACUGAAUACUGAUGUCACGAUAAUUACCAUUAAAUGAAAAGGUGGCUUAGGAGGCAGAUCUAAACCAAAUGGUGGAAUGGAAAAGGCAAUAUACUAUUGGCUUCAGCAGAAUUUGGAGGAAGGCUUUAACAUUUUUUAUCCAUUCCCCCACUGUCUGCUACAUACACAAAAAGACAGCAGAAAAACUUCAAGAGCUGUAAAAAGACAAGUCUAGGGGACUACAGAAUAAGUAGUGCAAAGUCAACCUUUUUUUUAGAAACAGAUAUUCUUACUGUUGAGAAAAAAGAGUUGUUUCAUAUCAGAAUAAUUAAAUGAUAGGAGAAAAAGGGGCAGUUUCCUCUACAGCAGUUAGUACUAGCCAUUACUAGUGCCAAGAGCCCAGAUUAGAGAGACCAUCACUCUCAUCCUGAACAACUUCUAUCCAACUCACUGCCCUUCACCUCAGCAGCAGUGGCACAGUGCCUCAAGCCCUGACUCUGCAAGACAGCAGGAUACAGAUACCAGUUCUCUGUUCUGCAGCAGGAUAUACAACAGCAGUUCCCACGGCCAUCACAAGGAGCUACGUGGAUACCUAUUGCCAGGAAGGGUGGGGUGAGAGCACUUGGAAUGCAACUACUGAAAGUUCAAGUCAACAGGUUUGGAAACUUGGCAAAGACAGCGCAGACAAAUAACUCAAGGUUUGCGGGGCACCU